UCCUAGCUAGCAAUCUAGGCGCCUCAUCAGCUGACCAGAGGCAGACAGACAGAUCGGGCCAGGUCAAACAAAAAGAUUCAGGGGAGAAAGGACAGACAGCUGGAGAGAGGACCCAAGGACGGGACAGAGACAGAAGCGGAGACUGGAGUGGACACUGGGCUGGACAAACAGCUGGCUGCCAGGACGGACAGAACACACAGACAAUUCAGACAUCACUCUCAGAGAGAUUAAGUCGGAGACAGCCGGCUGGAAAGCGGGGCGGACCAGUCUCCAUGUCACAUUCACCCUAAUUUCUGGGCUGUGCUCCACGUGGAAAUGUCCAACUCAUUGUCUCCCCAAGUCUGCUCCAGUUCCACCUCCUCCAGAAAACCUUCCUGGAUCUCUCUACCCCAUGACACUCGUUUAAUUGACUGUAAGCUUGGUACUGUAUUUGUCACAUCUGAGGCUUGUCACGGAGGUAAUCACUAGUAAUCUUGUGUGUCCGGAUAAUGUUCUCUUAGACCACAACUUGGGUACUCCUUGGGGCAAGGACAUACAGUCCCAGAAACCUGGGAUAGGGCUGACCACCCGGCAGGUAGAAUGUGAUCUCCUUGUCCUCAUCUUCCUGGCACUCACCACAGUGCCUGGCACA